CACAGAUAGCGCCAGUGUAUCCUGUUGUCCCGUCCUACAGUUGCGUCAUCUUACUCGAGCCGCGUCCAACGAGGUUAUCGUGUCCUGUUCGCUGUCCCUUCGAUUUUCCCUCAAGCAAAAAGUGAUACUUAUCGUCAACACCCAAAGCAAGGCCAUGGAAUCAGGCGCAAACACUAUUAUUCGUUACAUUUUCCAUGGAUUUUACGUCUUGAACGUUGUGGAGCAGUUGAAUGAAGGCGCUAUCAGCUUGUCGUAUCGAUUGACGCGUCUCGAACCUUAGAUUCCCGCAGAACUUCAUGACUGCCGGCGGAGAUUCCAGUUAGAGGAUUCAAGCUGGCGGAACAAAACGAUGAGGCAGCUGCCACCCGCCCUCAGAUGCUAAAUAUUUGCCAUCGAGACGCUCAAACUAUAACAGACGUUUGCAGCGGUGGGGAUCUGCCUGAAGUCGAAAUCGUCAGCCUCUUGCAGGAAUCGAUUCCGCGCUACACGUUACGAGCGGACUCACUUGUUGAAUUUUCUGGUUACGAAAAUCAAGACUGGUUUAUUCCAACCCUGCUUUGAAACUAGAUAACGCUCAACUCUCGCCCGACCAAAUCCGGGAGACCUUAAACUAUUUUCGUGAGUAAUUUUUUCUCAAGUCCUAAUAUUUUUUGCUCUGUUGUUUAUUCAUUCUACUUUGCUGCUGUCACUUUCAUUCUAAAUCUUCGAAGUUUAUCAAAAAAGCCUAUUCAAGAAGGUAUUAUUUUCUGCACUUUUUGGCCGUGUAAGUUGGUCCUUAAUUUGCGCUAUUUACUUCAAAGGGAAUAAGUUCCGAGCCACUCAUACCAUAUUUUCCAUCUUUUCUUCCCCUUGUCUCCAUCACAAGGUGAAAAGAACAGAUUCACAUUCUCGCCAAAUCUUGGUUGAAGGGAUGAUCUCAGUUUUGGCAUUUAAUCUUAUUGUUAGUCUCCUGGGUUGUCAGAUAAUAUUUAUUUAGCAUCGGUUUUUUAGAAAAAGGAUGGAGGUUUCCAAUGUAAUGCCUCUAGAACCACUAAUGUGCUUCCCUUUUUCUGUUUGAUGAUGUGUAUACCAUUUUCGUGCUCCCGGAUUUUUUGCAGAAUUAUUCGUUUGUUGUUCCAAAAAGUUUCUGCAAUUAAUGCCCACAAAUAAUAUCCAAGUGAAAUUUGUAGCACAGUGGCAUGUAUGAGAAUUUCCUGCUAAAUUCUCAAGGAAUUCUAAAUUAGCUUCCCAAUUUUACGUAGUUUUUGAGAUCUUUCGGAAAGAUCAAGAGCAUACGCCGAUUAAUAGUGGACUUAAUUUCAGCAUAGUGGGACUUACCCAACUGUCACUUUUUCUCCUCAAGAAGUUAGAAAUAUUUAUACAUCUUGGUUAGUUUGGAUGCAAAGCUAGAAAUUUUGAAAAAUUUUCAAAUUAAAUAAACUAGGAAAUUUCUGAAUUUUUCCGAUAGUCUAGGGCUCGAAAUUUUUGAGAACAGUUUGGCAGAUUCUGAUGAUGUUUAAGGAUAUCUGCAGCUUUCCUAAUUUUUGGGACACUCUCAAUUUUUACACAAGAACUGAAAUCUGCAAUUUAGUAGCAUUCGGGGAAAUCAAUUGAGAUGAAUGUAGAACAUUUUUCCGCUUGUUUUGAGCCAGUGUCGUCCCCGUAUACAGAGUGCAAAGAGGAGCAAUUUUUUGGAAAACUCUGCUUUUAUGCGGAUGCAUGUGGAGUGUUGAUCUAUCAUUAAGAGGACUUGAAAAAUCUCCACACAGUUUGUUUCUUUUAUCACUACCAUUGAAAAUUCGGAGGAACUUGCAUGAAUUAUCAUCAAUUUUUUUCAUGCUUUUUUUCGAAAAUGCUCCUGACAAUCAGGUGAGACCCUCAUAAGUUAACGACCGACUAAUUUGCAGGCGGGAACUAAUUUUUCUCACAGUAGUGCAAAUUGAAAGUUAGCUUGACCUGACAGUUGGCUAACAUUCUGUUUGUCAGUAAUGAACAACCAACGUUGAACAGCUGUGCUCUCGUUGAGAGCUCUUGUAUCUUCUAAAAAUAUAAAAGAAUUUUUGAGUCAAGGUCACUUGAUUAUUCUCUCAUCUUCUGAGGCCCAUCGAUAUGAUUUUGGGAAGAACAUCUGAAACAUUUUAAAUAGAAAAUAUAUAUUAGAAAGUAUGGAUAUAUUUUCUAUUUAUAUAUUGAAUGAAUUAGGCAAGGCACUUUUUUAGAUUUUUAGACCCGACAAAGGGAGUUUUAAAAAAUGUGUCGCCUUCAAAACACUGUAAUGGACUGUCCAAUUUUGGCGCUAAGGAGGAACGCCAAAUAAGAAUUCAAAUGUUGUCAAAUUUCCUUUCAUGAAACAUUCAUUCAAGAGAAAAGUUAUGAACAUUUUCCUGCGAAAAUUUCAGGAGUGAUAGCUUUUUAUUUAAUAAGUUUUUUUAAAG
rnacentral:lncRNA from 1 species